rnacentral:rRNA from 1 species
AGAGUUUGAUCCUGGCUCAGGAUGAACGCCGGCGGUGUGCCUAAUACAUGCAAGUCGUACGCACUGGCCCAACUGAUUGAUGGUGCUUGCACCUGAUUGACGAUGGAUUACCAGUGAGUGGCGGACGGGUGAGUAACACGUAGGUAACCUGCCCCGGAGUGGGGGAUAACAUUUGGAAACAGAUGCUAAUACCGCAUAACAACAAAAGCCACAUGGCUUUUGUUUGAAAGAUGGCUUUGGCUAUCACUCUGGGAUGGACCUGCGGUGCAUUAGCUAGUUGGUAAGGUAACGGCUUACCAAGGCGAUGAUGCAUAGCCGAGUUGAGAGACUGAUCGGCCACAAUGGAACUGAGACACGGUCCAUACUCCUACGGGAGGCAGCAGUAGGGAAUCUUCCACAAUGGGUGCAAGCCUGAUGGAGCAACACCGCGUGAGUGAAGAAGGGUUUCGGCUCGUAAAGCUCUGUUGUUGGAGAAGAACGUGCGUGAGAGUAACUGUUCACGCAGUGACGGUUAUCCGACCCAGAAAGUCACGGCUAACUACGUGCCAGCAGCCGCCGGUAAUACGUAGGUGGCAAGCGUUAUCCGGAAUUUAUUGGGCUUAAA